UACUGAGGCCAGAAGUGGCUGUAAAAUACAAAAUAAAAUAUAAGGGGCCACUUCUUUCACUAUGCUAUUGGACUCAUCAGAGUGCAGGAACAAUCAUGCACUCAGACUUGCAGAUCCAUGAGAUCCUCGUAGACUUCCAAAGGUAGGUCAGCCUGCGGUUCCACUUUCUUCCUCAUUUAGGGGGGGGGGGACAUGGUAAGAGUGAGUUCCAUAUGCUCAGUAAGAAAAAUA
rnacentral:lncRNA from 1 species